GAACGUUAAUGGUUAGCUUAAUACAUGCAAGUUAAAUUAAUUUUGUUUUAGAAAUUAAUAGCGAACGGGUGAGUAAGAUACAGAAAAAAACCUUAAAAAAUUGUUUAAUCCAUGAGAAAAUUUAUUUUGUUUUAAGAAAAGUCUGUAUAAGAUUAGGUAGUUGGUGAAAGAAAAGUUUACCAAGCUUAUGAUCUUUAGUUGGUCUAUGAGGAUGAACAACCACAUUGGAACUGAGAAACGGUCCAGACUCUAAUAAGAGGCAGCAGUGAGGAAUUUUGGGCAAUGAGCGAAAGCUUGACCCAGCUAAACCAUAUGUGUGAUUGACAAUAUAUAAUUGUAAAACACUUUAUUUAAAUUUAAAUGAUGAUUAAUUUAAAAAAAAGUCCUGGCUAAUUUCGUGCCAGCAGCCGCGGUAAA
rnacentral:rRNA from 1 species